AAGCACAGCGACAAGCUUGCUCUCUGAGGUGGCGAGUGGCGGACGGGUGAGGAAUACAUCGGAAUCUACUUUUUCGUGGGGGAUAACGUAGGGAAACUUACGCUAAUACCGCAUACGACCUACGGGUGAAAGCAGGGGAUCUUCGGACCUUGCGCGAUUGAAUGAGCCGAUGUCGGAUUAGCUAGUUGGCGGGGUAAAGGCCCACCAAGGCGACGAUCCGUAGCUGGUCUGAGAGGAUGAUCAGCCACACUGGAACUGAGACACGGUCCAGACUCCUACGGGAGGCAGCAGUGGGGAAUAUUGGACAAUGGGCGCAAGCCUGAUCCAGCCAUACCGCGUGGGUGAAGAAGGCCUUCGGGUUGUAAAGCCCUUUUGUUGGGAAAGAAAUCCAGCUGGUUAAUACCCGGUUGGGAUGACGGUACCCAAAGAAUAAGCACCGGCUAACUUCGUGCCAGCAGCCGCGGUAAUACGAAGGGUGCAAGCGUUACUCGGAAUUACUGGGCGUAAAGCGUGCGUAGGUGGUCGUUUAAGUCCGUUGUGAAAGCCCUGGGCUCAACCUGGGAACUGCAGUGGAUACUGGGCGACUAGAAUGUGGUAGAGGGUAUCGGAAUUGCUGGUG
rnacentral:rRNA from 1 species